AACGAACGCUGGCGGCAUGCCUAACACAUGCAAGUCGAACGAGACCUUCGGGUCUAGUGGCGCUCGGGUGCGUAACGCGUGGGAACCUGCCCUUAGGUUCGGAAUAACUCCCCGAAAGGGGUGCUAAUACCGGAUAAUGUCUUCGGACCAAAGAUUUAUCGCCUUUGGAUGGGCCCGCGUUGGAUUAGCUAGUUGGUAGGGUAAAAGCCUACCAAGGCGACGAUCCAUAGCUGGUCUGAGAGGAUGAUCAGCCACACUGGGACUGAGACACGGCCCAGACUCCUACGGGAGGCAGCAGUGGGGAAUAUUGGACAAUGGGCGAAAGCCUGAUCCAGCAAUGCCGCGUGAGUGAUGAAGGCCUUAGGGUUGUAAAGCUCUUUUACCCGGGAUGAUAAUGACAGUACCGGGAGAAUAAGCUCCGGCUAACUCCGU
rnacentral:rRNA from 1 species